rnacentral:rRNA from 1 species
GACGAACGCUGGCGGCGUGCUUAACACAUGCAAGUCGAACGGAAAGGCCCUGCUUUUGUGGGGUGCUCGAGUGGCGAACGGGUGAGUAACACGUGAGUAACCUGCCCUUGACUUUGGGAUAACUUCAGGAAACUGGGGCUAAUACCGGAUAGGAGCUCCUGCUGCAUGGUGGGGGUUGGAAAGUUUCGGCGGUUGGGGAUGGACUCGCGGCUUAUCAGCUUGUUGGUGGGGUAGUGGCUUACCAAGGCUUUGACGGGUAGCCGGCCUGAGAGGGUGACCGGCCACAUUGGGACUGAGAUACGGCCCAGACUCCUACGGGAGGCAGCGGUGGGGAAUAUUGCACAAUGGGCGGAAGCCUGAUGCAGCAACGCCGCGUGCGGGAUGACGGCCUUCGGGUUGUAAACCGCUGUCGCCUGUGACGAAGCGUGAGUGACGGUAAUGGGUAAAGAAGCACCGGCUAACUACGUG